UACAGAGGUCUCAAGCGUUGUUCGGAUUCAUUGGGCGUAAAGGGUGCGUAGGUGGCGAGGUAAGUCAGGUGUGAAAUCUCGGAGCUCAACUCCGAAACUGCACUUGAUACUGCCCUGCUCGAGUACUGGAGAGGAGAUUGGAAUUUACGGUGUAGCAGUGAAAUGCGUAGAUAUCGUAAGGAAGACCAGUGGCGAAGGCGAAUCUCUGGACAGUUACUGACACUGAGGCAGCGAAGGCCAGGGGAGCAAAACGGGG
rnacentral:rRNA from 1 species